ensembl:lncRNA
UGACAGGUGCUGUCCUUCUUGAGUUUCCUCCAGCUCACCAGCUCGCCAUGUUUGGUGGCUGCAUCGCUGAUGAGUGUGACAUCCCUGUUUACUGAUACGCAGGAAAUAAUUCCAUUUGCAGCUUGUCUGCCGUUUUUAAUUGGAACUGUUCUUUCAUCCAGGGCCACUACAAGAGUGUCUGCAGGGCACCGUGUUUGCCCCACGCCACCACUGGGGGUGGGCAGUGAGGGGUAGGGGGGGAUUGGUGCUGUGUCCCCACCCGCUCUGGAGCCAGAGUGUCCCGGGCUGCCAGGCGAGGGCCUGAGCCCAAGCCGUGUGGCCUGGAAGACCUCCUGUCACCCCCCUGCCGCCUUUCAGCUCCAAAUCCACUUGCUCUGUCCAAGUCUGCAGAGAAAGCCCGAGUGAGGGCAAGAUGAAGACCCCUCCCAGUGCCUGCCCACCUGCCUGAGCUCCACGCACCCUUAUACCCGCUUCACUCUCGCCCCCAGUGCCCGCCCUACUCGAGCCCCUUUCCUGGGGGCUCCCUGCUGCCCUGGCUCCAAGGGCACUGGGGGCACGCAGAGCACAGGGGGUGUGCUGUGGGCACAGGUAGCCCAAGACGUUCCCACCAGGGCUCAGGCUGUCCCUUCACAGGCAGUGUCCCCUUGGAGACAUGGCCCAGGGUGGGCUCUCAACUCAGGGGGGCCAGACCCCUCCAUCCUCCCGCCCCCUCCUCUGCCCUCAGACUGCAAGAUGGGUGCCUGGUGUGACCCAAAGCUGCAAGGAGCCGCAAGGGAGAGCACCCUGAGCAUGCCUCUGCUCUGAUCAGGGACGACGUGCUUUCCCAGGCGCCUUCAGCAGGCUUCCUUCGCACAUGGGUCUCACCUCUGGGAAAGUGAGUGUCUGGCCCUUUCUGCCCCUGUUGGGGCUGCUGAGGGCACUGGGGGCUGUGUCACCUAACUGCCACAUUUAUCUUAACUUUCUCUAAAGAGGCCAUUUCAGUGCGUAUGGUACCAUCCAGCCACGCAUAACAACAUAUUUGCCUUACACUUAAAAAUUCUCUUUAAAAAAAAUUAAGCUGCAGAAUACUGUCUGAAAUUCCUUUCUCCAUCAUAAGAUGUUAAAAAGUCAACCAGGAAAAAAGAGUCAACCAUAACACUCCCCACCCUCUGCCUUGGUGACAGUAAGAAAUUAUAAAACACAGGUGUCAGUCAUUAGAGACCUGGUGCUUCUGCUGGGCCCUUUGUACUCCCCCGACGCCCUGCAUCUGCGGUGUGACAUGGGGCUUGUCACUUGACCUCUCUGAGAACUGGUUCACUCACCUGUAAAACAGGAGUGACGAUGACAGCUUGACGCAGAGGGUCCUCGUGAGGGUCCUGGAGGUAACAUCUGUCGGUGUUUGUAAGGCCCUGAAGGCCACCAGAGGAAGCGUGGCCAGACAACUGGUUGUGCCCCAGUCAUCCCAGCUGUUGCCUCCCUCACCUGAAAGGCAAGGAAAGGGAGUCAGAGUCAGAUCACACGGCCAAGGAUUCUGAGCAGUCCAGAAUCCUUCAGACUGAAUCCUUCAUGAAGCAAUCUUCCCCCUUCGUAUUCCUGUGCGGGGUGCUCUCAGCCUGCUGACGUGGGAGAUGUGAUUGAACAACCCGUGUGGGCACUGAAGUAAGGCUCAGUGCACCGACACAUGUCUAGACUGGAGCUUACCCUCUGCCGGCUCAAAGUCAGUGCCCAGCGCU